UGCGUGAUCAGUGCAGAGAUAUUUCACAAUGCCCCUGCAGGCAGAGUGUAAGCAAGAGUUACAUCACCUAGAUGAUCAGUGCAGAGAUAUGUCACAAGGCCCCCUAUACGCAGAGUCGGACAAGAGUUACAUCACCUCAGUGAUCAAUGCAGUGAUAUGUCACUAUGCCCCGUAGGCAGAGCCUAGUCAAGCGUUACAUCACCUGGGUGAUUACUGCAGAGAUAUGUCACAAAGUCCCCAUACACAGAGCCUAGACAAGAGUCCCAUCACCUGGGUGAUCAGUGCAGAAAUAUGUCACAAUGCCCCUAUAGGCCGAUCGAAGACAAGAGUCCUUCACCUGGGUGAUCAGUGCAGAAAUAUGUCACAAUGCCCCCUUAGGCAGAGCCUAGAUAAAAGCCCCAUCACCUGGAUGAUCAGUGCAGAGUUAUGUCACAAAUUCCCUUUAGGCAGAUCCUAGAGAAAGGUUACAUCACUUGGAUGAUCAGUGCAGAGAUAUGUCACUAUGCUACAGUAGGCAGAGCCUAGACUAGAGUUACAUGACCUCGGUGAUCAGUGCAGAGAUACAUCGCAAUGUCCCUGUAGGCAGAGCCUUGACAAGUGGUACAUCACCUGGGUGAUCAUUGCAGGGAUAUGUCACAAAGCACCCUGUAGGCAGAUCCUAGAAAAGAGUUACAUGACCUAGGUGAUCAGUGCAGAGAUACAUCGCAAUGCCCCUGUAGGCAGAGCUUUGACAAGUGGUACAUCACCUGGGUGAUCAUUGCAGGGAUAUGUCACAAAGCACCCUGUAGGCAAAUCCUAGAGAAGAGUUAUAUCACCUGGGUGAUCAGUGCAGAGGUAUGUCACAAAGCCCCUGUAGGCAGAGCCUAAACAAGACUUACAUCACCUGGGUGAUCAGUGCAGAAAUAUGUUACAA
rnacentral:lncRNA from 1 species